GCGGGAAUAGCUCAGUUGGUAGAGCGCAACCUUGCCAUGGUUGAGGUCGCGAGUUCGAGUCUCGUUUCCCGCUCCA
rnacentral:tRNA from 3 species